AUACGGAGGGGGCUAGCGUUGUUCGGAAUUACUGGGCGUAAAGCGCGCGUAGGCGGAUUGAUCAGUCAGGGGUGAAAUCCCGAGGCUUAACCUCGGAACUGCCUUUGAUACUGUCAAUCUUGAGUUCGAGAGAGGUGAGUGGAAUUCCUAGUGUAGAGGUGAAAUUCGUAGAUAUUAGGAAGAACACCAGUGGCGAAGGCGGCUUACUGGCUCGAUACUGACGCUGAGGUGCGAAAGCGUGGGGAGCAAACAGGAUUAGAUACCCUAGUAGUCC
rnacentral:rRNA from 1 species